AACACGUGGGAACGUGCCUUUAGGUUCGGAAUAGCUCCUGGAAACGGGUGGUAAUGCCGAAUGUGCCCUUCGGGGGAAAGAUUUAUCGCCUUUAGAGCGGCCCGCGUCUGAUUAGCUAGUUGGUGGGGUAAUGGCCCACCAAGGCUACGAUCAGUAGCUGGUCUGAGAGGAUGACCAGCCACAUUGGGACUGAGACACGGCCCAAACUCCUACGGGAGGCAGCAGUGGGGAAUAUUGGACAAUGGGCGCAAGCCUGAUCCAGCCACGCCGCGUGAGUGACGAAGGUCUUCGGAUUGUAAAGCUCUUUUGCCAGGGACGAUAAUGACGGUACCUGGAGAAUAAGCACCGGCUAACUCCGUGCCAGCAGCCGCGGUAAUACGGAGGGUGCAAGCGUUAUCCGGAUUCACUGGGUUUAAAGGGUGCGUAGGCGGGCAGGUAAGUCAGUGGUGAAAUCCUGGAGCUUAACUCCAGAACUGCCAUUGAUACUAUCUGUCUUGAAUAUUGUGGAGGUAAGCGGAAUAUGUCAUGUAGCGGUGAAAUGCUAGAUAUGACAUAG
rnacentral:rRNA from 1 species